GCAAGUUUUCUAUUCUAACAGGAGAAGAAACAAAUUGCUCCGCUGGGGAUCUUCUGUUGAACAGACAUAAAAUCCAUCAUAGAGGAAACUCUACCGGGGAGCUCAACACAGAUAAGAUUCGUCCUAGAAGAAACUCUACUAGGGGACUUAUCAGGGAAAAAUAUGAAAUUUUGUGGGGAACAACCUCCAAACAGAAAUUCUAACAAUCAAAACACUUCCUCCUCAUCUGCUGGAGAGACAUCUCUGCUAAGGGAAGAGAGAACCAAUGCUCCGCUAGGGAAGGAAAA
rnacentral:lncRNA from 1 species